UCAGCACUACAACCAGACGGCAGCUCA
rnacentral:piRNA from 1 species